CUUUCUUCGGAGAGCGAGUAGAGUGGCGAACGGGUGAGUAACACGUGGGUAACCUGCCCUGAGAUGGGGGACAACCCGGGGAAACCCGGGCUAAUACCGCAUAAGCCUUAGGAUUUUACGGAAGCCUAAGGGAAAGCCUUCGGGCGCCUCAGGAGGGGCCCGCGUCCAAUUAGCUAGUUGGUGGGGUAAGAGCUCACCAAGGCGACGAUUGGUAGCCGGUCUGAGAGGACGGACGGCCACACUGGGACUGAGACACGGCCCAGUCUCCUACGGGAGGCAGCAGUGGGGAAUUUUGCGCAAUGGGCGAAAGCCUGACGCAGCAACGCCGCGUGGAGGACGAAGGCUUUCGAGUCGUAAACUCCUGUCCUCGGGGACGAAGCCAGUGACGGUACCCGGGGAGGAAGCCCCGGCUAACUCCGUGCCAGCAGCCGCGGUAAUACGGGGGGGGCAAGCGUUGUUCGGAUUUACUGGGCGUAAAGGGCGCGUANGCGGCCUGAGAAGUUUUGGGUGAAAGUCCUCGGCUCAACCGAGGAAGUGCCUGGAAAACCAUCGGGCUGGAGUGCUGGAGAGGCAAGCGGAAUUCCUGGUGUAGCGGUGAAAUGCNUANA
rnacentral:rRNA from 1 species